UAGGACGCUAGUUUACGAGGGGCGGAGCAAAGAUCGAGCUCUACGAUAGGGGGCGGGGCCGAGACCCUAGCAACCAGACUGAGAGCGAGGCUGGGACUAGGACUACUGAACUGGUAGCGGGCAACUGGAGGCGGAGUUGCGGGGCGGGGACGUCCAACCAGAUGAUUCGGGAGGCGGGACUCGAGAGAGAGAUCCUCUACAAGGGGCGGGGUUGAGUCAGUUUCUAGCUUUCAGACAGGGGCUCAGGGGUGGCGCCUGCGCGCAGGAUUCGGGGGCCGGGACCCCAACUAUUUGAGACCCUCUCGGGCUUCCGUGAAGGAGGGUCGCGCGAGCCAGCGAGGGGUCUCGGCCUUGAGCGGAGCCGAGCCACGCGCUGCCUUCGCCCAGGUGCAGAGGCCGGUUAGGAUUUGAAUUCCGUACCUUACGCCCCCAACGGCAGUCGGGCUGAGGGGAGACUGGAGGAACCUACGUCCCGUAUGCGCUGGAAGGAAAGGGAGUUAAUCGGGUCUCCUCUUCACCAUGCCAUUUCUUGAAAAAGAGGAAAACAGUGAACCUAUGUUGAUGAAAAAUGAAACACGCCUGCAAAUCUUAAAGAACAAGGAACAGAGAAAGAGACUUGUUCAUGAAAUUUGUACUUUUUUAGAUAGCAGCCAGUCUGUCCAAGAAAUUGAUGCUUUAAGGACAGAAAACAGGAAGUUAAAAAAUGCGAACUCAAGGCUUCGAUAUAAGACAAAGGAUUGGGCAUUAAAGAAAGAAGAAUAUGAAAAUGAAAUUGAGAGGCUGUCAAGUGAGAUAUCAAAUUAUUUAAAUGUCACCAAUUUUUGGUAUCAAGACACAGAGCUUCUUAAUGAUGAACAUAAUAAUAUACCAAGGGAACAGGCAAACAAUGUAAGCACUCAGACAGAGGGCGCCCUUGGACCAGUAAAAAGCGUCACUGUGAGGAAUGUUACAACACAAACUGGAGAAGAUGAUACAAGUUUCUUUUCUUUUUUCAUCUAAUCCAGACACACAAGUGAAGAACCCUUAUUACAGGACGAAUAUGAACAAUAGAAGAGCAGUUAACUAUUUUUAAAGGCCUGGACAACAGAUUGUUUUAUGUUGUUUCAAGUUUGUCUUCUCAUUGAAUUACUCAAUUCUAUGAAUGAAUUAAAGAGACAUGUUAUCUCAGUUCUUUCAAGUUACUGUAAUUUUGGUUAAAUGUUUAUCAAGAGUAGCUCUUAAAGUACUGAUUUGAGUGUGGUGUAAGGGAUAGAAAGCUGACCCUAGGGCUAGGAAAAUUAGGAGUCAAGUACAUAGCUAUAGUAAGAGUUGAACUCACAUCUUCCUGAUUUCAGGCCUGAUGCUUUAUCCACUGUGCCACUAGUUGACUCUGUUAGAGGGUUCUUUAAAUUGCAGUGAAAGUACCAACUUGUUUUGGUAGAAUGUAAUUCCCUAAAUCAUUGAGAUCACAGGUCCAUUCUCUCUCACUAAACAGUUCCCUAAUAUCUGUAAUUUAGUGGGCACUUAAGUCAGCUUAGGUUAGAUCAGCAUGACCAACAGUGAAUUUUUUUUUCCAACAAUGAAAUUUUAGAAUUUUUAAAAUAAGAAAAUCAUAAAUGAGCCUUGAUAAAACACAAACUACUUGGACCUCGUGAGUGAAGAGGGGAACAAUAUAUUUAAUUCCUUGAUAUUAAAGUAAAUGUCAAAGGCCUUGGUACUUAGGUGAUUGAUUUAUUAGCAUUCACAUUUAGGCUCAGCAGAAUGAGAGUGAGCUAUAGAAAAUGAAUGUAGAAGUCUCAAAAAAUGUAUUGUUAAACAAGUUUAAAACUAUGUUUUGCAAAGAAAGCCAUGAUUAUAUAUUUACUCAUUUAUUUUUGGUGUCAAAAGAGCCACAAACGGCUUGUACAAAUUAAUUUAGGCCUUUUUUUCAGGCACUGGGGAAAUAUAUUUCUAGAUUGUUCUGACAUGGAGUAUCAUUCUGCUAUGAGCCAGAGAGAGAUGCUGUUUAGAAAGUUUUCAGAAAUGACUGUUUUAUUUAAAACUAGCUUUGUCAGCUGGAGAGCAGGAAUAGAACAAGAGUAGACUUGCUGAAUGUGGAUAAGUUGGAGUCAGGAAGAGUUUUUGCCAUUAGUACUCCCAGAACAUCCAGUGUAUGUCCAAUUCCAGUAAGAGCUACAGGCUUGAUUGAGCAUUUAUCUGUAUCAGAAAACACAAAACAUUGUUGGAACGCAGAGACAACUAAUGUCCUAGUUUGAUGCCAGUUGCAUUGAAAAUGCAAAUUAUUUUUGCAUGUGCCUGUUUAAUUGUGUUGUGUGUAUGU
ensembl:lncRNA